rnacentral:rRNA from 1 species
ACGUAGGGUGCAAACGUUAUCCGGAUUUAUUGGGCGUAAAGAGCUCGUAGGUGGAAUUUUAAGUUGGAUAUUAAAUAUCCCGGCUCAACCGGGAAGCUGUAUCCAAAACUGGGAAUCUAGAGGUAUGUAGGGGAAGAUGGAACUUGUGGUGUAGCAGUGAAAUGCGUAGAUAUCACAAGGAACGCCGAUGGUGAAGACAGUCUUCUGGACAUUACCUGACACUGAGGAGCGAAAGCGUGGGUAGCGAACGGGAUUAGAUACCCCGGUAGUCCACGCCGUAAACGAUGCAUACUAGGAAUUUGAGGAAUCGACCCCUUAAGUUUCGAAGCUAACGCGUUAAGUAUGCCGCCUGGGUAGUACGGCCGCAAGGCUA